UACGUAGGCAGCGAGCGUUGUUCGGAAUCACUGGGCGUAAAGCGCACGUAGGCGGACUCUUAAGUCGGUGGUGAAAUCCUGGAGCUCAACUCCAGAACUGCCUUCGAUACUGAGAGUCUCGAGUCCGGGAGAGGUGAGUGGAACUGCGAGUGUAGAGGUGAAAUUCGUAGAUAUUCGCAAGAACACCAGUGGCGAAGGCGGCUCACUGGCCCGGUACUGACGCUGAGGUGCGAAAGCGUGGGGAGCAAACAGG
rnacentral:rRNA from 1 species